UACGUAGGGUGCGAGCGUUAAUCGGAAUUACUGGGCGUAAAGCGUGCGCAGGCGGUUUUGUAAGUCAGAUGUGAAAUCCCCGGGCUUAACCUGGGAACUGCGUUUGAAACUACAAGGCUAGAGUGUGGCAGAGGGGGGUGGAAUUCCGACGUGUAGCAGUGAAAUGCGUAGAGAUGUGGAGGAACACCGAUGGCGAAGGCAGCCCCCUGGGUUAACACUGACG
rnacentral:rRNA from 1 species